UACGUAGGGUGCAAGCGUUAAUCGGAAUUACUGGGCGUAAAGCGUGCGCAGGCGGUUGUGCAAGACAGAUGUGAAAUCCCCGGGCUUAACCUGGGAACUGCAUUUGUGACUGCACGGCUAGAGUGUGUCGAGAGGGGGGUAGAAUUCCACGUGUAGCAGUGAAAUGCGUAGAUAUGUGGAGGAAUACCGAUGGCGAAGGCAGCCCCCUGGGAUAACACUGACGCUCAUGCACGAAAGCGUGGGGAGCAAACAGG
rnacentral:rRNA from 1 species